AACCUGCAACUUGACUCUGGGAUAAGCCUGGGAAACCGGGUCUAAUACUGGAUACGACGUCCUACCGCAUGGUGGGGCGUGGAAAGGGUUUUACUGGUUUUGGAUGGGCUCACGGCCUAUCAGCUUGUUGGUGGGGUAAUGGCCUACCAAGGCGACGACGGGUAGCCGGCCUGAGAGGGUGACCGGCCACACUGGGACUGAGACACGGCCCAGACUCCUACGGGAGGCAGCAGUGGGGAAUAUUGCACAAUGGGCGCAAGCCUGAUGCAGCGACGCCGCGUGAGGGAUGACGGCCUUCGGGUUGUAAACCUCUUUCAGCAGGGAAGAAGCCACAAGUGACGGUACCUGCAGAAGAAGCGCCGGCUAACUACGUGCCAGCAGCCGCGGUAAUACGUAGGGCGCAAGCGUUGUCCGGAAUUAUUGGGCGUAAAGAGCUCGUAGGCGGUUUGUCGCGUCUGCUGUGAAAGCCCGGGGCUCAACCCCGGGUCUGCAGUGGGUACGGGCAGACUAGAGUGCAGUAGGGGAGACUG
rnacentral:rRNA from 1 species